UGGGGAAUAUUGCACAAUGGGCGCAAGCCUGAUGCAGCCAUGCCGCGUGUGUGAAGAAGGCCUUCGGGUUGUAAAGCACUUUCAGCGGGGAGGAAGGCGGUGAGGUUAAUAACCUCACCGAUUGACGUUACCCGCAGAAGAAGCACCGGCUAACUCCGUGCCAGCAGCCGCGGUAAUACGGAGGGUGCAAGCGUUAAUCGGAAUUACUGGGCGUAAAGCGCACGCAGGCGGUCUGUCAAGUCGGAUGUGAAAUCCCCGGGCUCAACCUGGGAACUGCAUUCGAAACUGGCAGGCUAGAGUCUUGUAGAGGGGGGUAGAAUUCCAAGUGUAGCGGUGAAAUGCGUAGAGAUCUGGAGGAAUACCGGUGGCGAAGGCGGCCCCCUGGACAAAGACUGACGCUCAGGUGCGAAAGCGUGGGGAGCAAACAGG
rnacentral:rRNA from 1 species